rnacentral:rRNA from 1 species
CGACCGGCGCACGGGUGAGUAACGCGUAUGCAACCUGCCCGAUACCGGGGUAUAGCCCAUGGAAACGUGGAUUAACACCCCAUAGUACUUUUAUCCUGCCUGGGAUGUGAGUUAAAUGUUCAAGGUAUCGGAUGGGCAUGCGUCCUAUUAGUUAGUUGGCGGGGUAACAGCCCACCAAGACGAUGAUAGGUAGGGGUUCUGAGAGGAAGGUCCCCCACAUUGGAACUGAGACACGGUCCAG